ACUCUUAUAAAUAUAAAAUGAGUUGCUUUGCUUAAGGCUAAGCUCGGGCGAUCUCAGUUGAGUUCGUCGCCGCAAGUGCAAAGUGUGUGUGGCUUGCGGGCAAAUUAAAUCGUUUACCUUUAAUGUCAAGUGCAGUUAACGAAUAUUGUCACAUGGAGUGCGGUGCAAGUGGAGCAAAGCAAAAGAGAAAUGAAAAUCAAUGAUCAAUUUGGCUGUGCAAACUAUGUAACAUUUUUCUGAUUGCAUUUCCCCGCACCCAGCACCAUACAAACGUAUGAAAGCAUUCCAGGCAUGCGUUGCCGAUGGCUUGUUGGUCAAGCAGAGCCUCAUUUGUGUGCGUGUGUGUGUGUGUGAGGGGUAGGGGGCAUAUGCAUUUAAUAAAAGCCAACAGCGCAAAAAUUUUAAUGAAAGAGUGCAAGUGCGUAAGUCCUGCAUAUGUGCGCUCCUCUGCCUUCCAGUUACAACAACAGGAACAACAACAACAAGUUGAGCAGCAGUUGCAAUCAUUAUAGGAAGAGCGAUUGUAGCUGAAAUGUCUAAAGUAACGAACAGAGGCUUUUUCGGGUGCGUGCCUGUGGUUAAAUGUGCAUUCAUUAAGUAAUUUGUAGCCACAAAAUUAAAUAUGUUACCAUUUGUCUAAUGCUUGUCAGUUGCUAUGCUUUGGCUACUUCUUUUUAUAUUCUAUUUUCAUUUUAGGUCCCAUUUUUGGUUUGGCCUGGAACCCUUUGUGACCUUUGAUUGACUGACAAGUUGGCCACAUACAUAAAACUAAGCCCAAGUUUACAAGUUUGAUUGCGAUUUAAAUUGUGCCGUUUCAACUCUCUCAAAUCAAAUGAAAAUUCUGUUACGCUGCUCCCAAGCCUUGUUGCUUUUAAGUAUUUCCGUAACCGUUCCUGUGUGCGUGUGUCUGUCUGCCUGUCUGUCUCUCUGUCUAGUUGGACCAGCAGUCGUGCUACUUGUUAUGCUGCCUUGUCUUGCCCCUAAGGGCUCUACAUAACAGACUGCCUACACAGCAACAACAACAAGAGCAGCAACAACAUGAGCACUAAAGGGGCUUGCUUGAUUCUCAGAUUUGCCAGACACACAUUAAAUAGUAUGCAAAAUUACUCAGAAAGCAAAAGUAAUAAAGCUUUGGAUGGAAAUUGCUGUUGACUGUGCACUUUAUAUAUAAUCUAAAUUU